rnacentral:lncRNA from 1 species
CUUUAUUUUUAAGUAGGGAAGAUUAUUUUGCUGCCAAUACCUCACCAACAUUUGGGAUCUUUUGCUUUUUUCCCCCACUCCAUCACACUAUAGUUGGCAUUCAGGGUGCAUGCCACCACAUGCUUCUAAGAGAAUGGUGGUGAAGUAACUCCUGAGAAACUCCACUGAAAGCUGUAAGUGCCCCUUACCUUUGAAAAAUCAAGCUCCUUGUUUGAAGACUGAACUUCAGGCAUGCAAGUCUCAGUAAAACUUGUAUUUCAGUGUUCAAAUCAGAGGAUAAUAUAGCAGUACAGAAGAGAAGCACAGCAGAAUGAUACAGUCCAGAGAACUGGACUGAAGCUUUGUUAAGCUGCCACUGAAGGGAAGGUUUGAACAGCCACACAAAUUACUAUCAGAUAGAUAUGGUAUGCUUUGCUAAGAUUCGGCAGUCCUUAGUGAGAAAUCUCUAUUUUCUACUUCUCCUGGACAUAGAGAAUCGUGCUUAAUGACUGGAGAAAACCAAGCUACUCAAGACUUAACUCUAGCUUCACCAUCCCUGCAGUUC